rnacentral:rRNA from 1 species
GAUGAACGCUGGCGGCGUGCCUAAUACAUGCAAGUCGAGCGAACAGACGAGGAGCUUGCUCCUCUGACGUUAGCGGCGGACGGGUGAGUAACACGUGGAUAACCUACCUAUAAGACUGGGAUAACUUCGGGAAACCGGAGCUAAUACCGGAUAAUAUAUUGAACCGCAUGGUUCAAUAGUGAAAGACGGUUUUGCUGUCACUUAUAGAUGGAUCCGCGCCGCAUUAGCUAGUUGGUAAGGUAACGGCUUACCAAGGCAACGAUGCGUAGCCGACCCGAGAGGGUGAUCGGCCACACUGGAACUGAGACACGGUCCAGACUCCUACGGGAGGCAGCAGUAGGGAAUCUUCCGCAAUGGGCGAAAGCUUGACGGAGCAACGCCGCGUGAGUGAUGAAGGUCUUCGGAUCGUAAAACUCUGUUAUUAGGGAAGAACAAAUGUGUAAGUAACUAUGCACGUCUUGACGGUACCUAAUCAGAAAGCCACGGCUAACUACGU